rnacentral:rRNA from 1 species
UACGUAGGUGGCAAGCGUUAUCCGGAAUUAUUGGGCGUAAAGCGCGCGUAGGCGGUUUUUAAGUCUGAUGUGAAAGCCCACGGCUCAACCGUGGAGGGUCAUUGGAAACUGGAAAACUUGAGUGCAGAAGAGGAAAGUGGAAUUCCAUGUGUAGCGGUGAAAUGCGCAGAGAUAUGGAGGAACACCAGUGGCGAAGGCGACUUUCUGGUCUGUAACUGACGCUGAUGUGCGAAAGCGUGGGGAUCAAACAGG